rnacentral:lncRNA from 1 species
AGAGCAGUGGGAAGGGGAAAGGUUUUCCUGGUGGCAUUUUUCGGCAGAGAGAAUAUGUUAUCUUGCCUGCUUCUUGGGAACCGUGGAUCCUUCAUCAGUGACCUGGAAUGGUUGCUAAGUGCGAAGCAGAGAGCAGUUCUGACAGCCUUCUUUAAGCACAGGAUAUCCAUUGCUCUCAUGCGAAAAAGAAGCCUCCCAGAAAAGACUGCAUUGGGCAUUGACAGCUCUUUCACACGUUGUACUGUUAUUUCUGAAACCCGAUCACGAGUUGUACUAUCUAGGUAAUACAUGCCUUUUGGACAUUUCUUAGUAAAGAUGCCCAAAUGAGAGACCCUACUGAUGAAAGCACUUCCUUCAGGGACCUUCAAUAGCUCGAUAUAUAUUUAGGGAAAUACAAAAGGAGAGGAGCGUGUAUUUUUGGGAUUGGGAAAAUACACAUUUUCCAUUGGACUAAACUGUCAACUCAUCAAUAUUUUAGAAUGGGUCAUGACCUGCAUAAAAGAAAAAAAAAAAACAAACCUGUUUUGACUUUCUUGGCAGCCCCAAUCCUAAUUUGGUGGAAGUGGCUUUGUGCCUGGAUUUGAAAGCCACAGUCCCAGCCUUCUAUGCACUCAGCAAUGGCCGUAGAGCACACAUCUGGCCAAUGGUAUCUAAGAGGAAGUUACUUAAAGCUACUUAAAAUAGGACAGAAGCAGCUGAAGGGCACACGUUUUGUUCUCAUGCGUUUUCCUCUAGUAGCUGGAAUCAACUAGUAAUUUUGCAGUAGGAAAAAAUGAAAAGAUCCAUAGAUCCGGCAAUAAUGGUUUUAACAUGAGCCAUCCUUCCCUCAUCCUCCACAUUAACCCUCCAAUUUGCAGUUCCCUGAUUUGCGCAGCCAAAUGGAAUACCUAACGGAAAUAGAAUAUGGUAUCAGAACUGGCAGGGGGUGUAGCAAGGAAAGGAUGCUUCAAGUAAUAGAACCAAAAAUGUUUAAUUUGCUUAAUGGAAGGGGUGGGAAAGUGAGGGCAGUAUUGCAGGAGGUAAAGCUGGUUCAUCCAUAUGCAACAGGGCAAAACAGUUUUUCAGACUCUAGAAACAUUGUCUACUGACUCCUAAGUAAUAGAGAAUGUUGGCAUGCGUUGGACCCUUCUUAUUGCUUUUAGCAAAGCCUUAAGGGAGCAAUGAACUGAUUCAGAGACACACAGUCUACAAACAUGUGGAAGAAAAUACAGCACUGAUAAGAGGAGUGCUUCUUCCAAGACCAUCAAUCUAAGUUGACUGAGAAUCUCAAAAAUUGGAGCCAUUCGAUAGUUAAGAUAUAUGUUUGCUACUGGAAAAGAAACUCAAAAUACAAUGUGAAAGAAAAACAGAAGCUCAGUUCUCUCUCCUGUAACAGUCUUGAGUAUAAGCAGGAAAGCUGUAAAGUGUGUGGCUCCAUGCUGCCUUUCUAUCUUACUGCUCCCGAAUCUCCUUGUUGCAGUAAUCCAAGAUUACUCUCCACUAUUCAGGCAUUUCAGGAGGCAGGAAGGGGAAAAGAGGGAAAGAGAGGGCAUUCUCUUCCUUCUAAAGACAUACUCUGGAAGUUGCACCUGUUAUUUCUGCAUAUAACUUAUCGGAAAGAAUUUAGUUAUAUGUCCACCCCCAAGCACAAGGACUUUAAUCUGGUCUACCAUGUGCUCAGCUAAAAGCCACGGGUUCCAUGUUGCUGGAAAGGGGAAAGAACCGAUACUGCCUUUCUUGGGGUUGAACAGCUAACUUCUCCUCUCCCUCAAGCAGAAAGCAUUGUAAACUAAAGAGUGUACAUCUGUCUUCCUCUUCUUGUCUCCUUCUGAAAAUCCAGCUUUGAAAAGCAGCCUACACCAAUCUCACAUUUUUCAUAUUCCACAUUAGAAAAGUGAUGUAGCUUUAAUAAGAUAGCAAUACUUUAUAUUUUGUUCUUCCAUCAGGCCAAAGGGUUAUGAUGUUAGAAUGUUCUUUGGCAAUUCCAAAUAGGAAAAACAAAAUCUCAAAAAACUUUUGAAGAUAUCUAGUGUAGUGGAACUGUCUCAAGAUUUAGUUCUAAUUAGCCUCUGAAAUUGUGUUCCUGCCAACUCUGUUGCAUUGACUAAGUUCAGAUCAGGCAUCCUGGGACAUUUCAUUCCGUUUUGAACGAGGCGCAUUGCUAAUUCUCUAAUCAAUGAACGGACACUCCAUUUGUCAAACAGCAUAAUUGCCAUUAAAUGAAUAUAAUUCAUAGCUAAUUGUUAAAAAGGAGUAAUUUGCUGUGACUUGAACAGAUUUUAAUUGUAUUCCUUGACUUAUGGGAACAUCUUAUUAAAUAGUGGAAAAAUCUUUUUAAAAAUCUGUAUUUUGGAGCAAAGGUGGUGAUAUCUUUUUAAGAUCACACAUGGGAUGAAUUAAUCGAUUCAAACAUUAUGUGAACAAAUAUGCUGCUACAAGAAUGUUCAUUGAAGCAUUAUUUAAAAUACCAAAAAAAUUUCAAGCAACAUGCAUAUCCAUCUACAGAGGCAUAGUUACAGAAAAUACAGUUUAUCUAUGCUAAAAACCAAAAAAACUUAUUCAACGCUUAAAAUAAGGAGACAGAUCCAAGUGGAAAGAUAUCCAACACACAACAUUAAGAUUUCAAAAACUAUAAAGCGAUAUGUAUGGUUCAAGUACAUUAGCUGACAGAGCAAAUCAGAAAGCAGUUACAUACAUAUAACUGUAUAUGCACGGAGGUUUUUGGAAGCAUAUGCAUGUAUUAAUAUUACAACUAAAUAGUGGACUAGUUGUCCUGGUAUGAGAAAUGGCAGAUUCUUAGUUUUUACUUUAUAAACCUUCUGUAUUUGUUGAACUUUUAACUUUAAAUUUGCAUUCGUUUUGCAUUUUAAAAAGUUAUUAAAACCUAUAAAAA